rnacentral:other from 1 species
GAGAACCUGGAUCGUGCGUGGGUCGUGCCUGUCGCGAACUCGAACACGUUGACUGCCGAGGGAGCCUUACAUCUCCGGCGCGGAGCGAAGCCGCCGCGUGCGGAAGGCGAAGGGCCGGAGUGCGGGCACCCACCUGCAUGGGGACCGCGGGUCGACGGACGGGGACCUACGGCGAUCUGGGCCCUUC